UGAACACAUGCAAGUCGAGCGAGAAGCUCAUGACGGAAUCUUCGGAGGACGGAUUGAGUGGAAAGCGGCGGACGGGUGAGUAACGCGUGGGUAACCUGCCCUGUACAGAGGAAUAGCCAUUGGAAACGAUGAUUAAUGCCUCAUAAGACUACAGUAUCGCAUGAUACAGUAGCCAAAACUCCGGUGGUACAGGAUGGACCCGCGUUAGAUUAGCUAGUUGGUAAGGUAACGGCUUACCAAGGCGACGAUCUAUAGCCGACCUGAGAGGGUGAUCGGCCACACUGGGACUGAGACACGGUCCAGACUCCUACGGGAGGCAGCAGUGGGGAAUAUUGCACAAUGGGCGAAAGCCUGAUGCAGCAACGCCGCGUGAGCGAAGAAGGUCUUCGGAUCGUAAAGCUCUGUCCUAUGGGAAGAACACAAUGACGGUACCAUAGGAGGAAGCCCCGGCUAACUACGUGCCAGCAGCCGGGGGUAAUACGUAGGGGGCAAGCGUUAUCCGGAAUC
rnacentral:rRNA from 1 species